CUUCUGACCACUUAAAAAUAGAACAGCUGUCCCAAAGAAUUUGGGUGCUGGAGGGUGUUGCAGUUGCAGAAACCGAGGAGCCUGUAUCUGGGUCUCACUCAGACUUGCAUUGUUGAUCUUUCCCCGAAAGAGUCCCAGCCACUCCCAGAGCAGAAGAGUCUUGCUGCAAUAUGGCGAGAAGUCAGAAAUCUCUGGUGGGAAGCUGCCCUACAGACCUACACAUAAUCUGCCCCUGCAUAUCCCUCAGAAAGGUUACCGUUCUCAGCCUGCAUUGGCAUCUACAGUGAACCAAAGUUCAUCCCAUCCGCCUUCCCUUCUGGGCCCUGUUGAAGAAAGUGAAGCUCAAGGAGGUUAAGUGCUUUCCUGCCAGGUCACACAACUAGCAACUGGAGAACUAGAUUGAAAAUCUGGGGACUACACUCUGCACAGGGCCUCUGAGUUCCUGCAGGGUCUGCAGGUACAGGCCUCCUGCAAGCUCCCUGCUUGGGUUCACUCUGGAGAUCGAAUAUUUAAAGGGAACCCAGGAUUUGGUUUCAUCAGGAAUUAGCUAACCCUGGGAGGGGCCACCCUUCUACUUCAGCAAGAUGUCAAAUAUCAAAGCAUCGAAUACAGAAACUGGAAAACAUGGUUAUUACACUGAGACUUCUGGAAAGAGCCCUUGAGGACUCAAGGGCCUGACUGAAAGCUGCACCUUACCGUACUCUGGCUUGACUGAUAGCUUCAGCCUCCGGAGCUUCUGCAGACCAAAUGCCAGUGAGGCUCAGAGUGGGCAGCAAAUGGAGAAAGCGACACCUUUCCCUGUAGACUGUGGGCUCCAGCCUGUCAGCAAACAGCCUAUUCAUUUGUUUUGUAUCUACUUUCAUUCAGUGACGUUUAUAACACUCUAAAUUGUCCGUUUAAGUGCAAUUUCACUACUGGGCGUUGUUUUUAGGUAGUCACCAGGGGUCUGAUUUUAAAUCACAUUCUAUUACAAUUGCAUGACCAAGUGAGAUGUCAAUUGUUUUAAUGCUUCCUCAUUUAUUGUUCUUUAGCUACACAAGCAUCUUAAAGAGCUACAAAAAUUAGUGGAUAUAUUGCCAUCAAUCAAGCAUAAGGAUACCAUAGUGGAAUUUGGGUCGUUCGACCCUGCCUGCCUGAUGCCCACCUGCCCGGACUACUGGACCUACUCAGGAUCCCUGAUUACCCCACCACUCUCCGAGUCUGUCACCUGGAUCAUUAAGAAGCAGCCUGUAGAGGUUGAUCAUGAUCAGGUACAUUCUUUCCAUGUUUCUGUAUAAGGAAAUUCUAGUUUUCCUCUUCAAAACAAGCCUGGGCUCAAACUUUGGGAUCAGUUUUUAACUUAUAAUGCUUAUACAUUUUUAUUAAAAUGUGCUAACUUCUUGCCUAAUUUGGGUAUGAAUUAGAAAAAUCUUUAGUGAACCAGAGAGAGGUGUUAAAACAUAGAACAUAAGCUUUUUGCUUUCAUUCUUGACAGGGACAUAUAUUUUGCUGUAUACGCAUUGGGUAGAGUCUCUAUAAAAAUUAAGACUCUUUUAAAUAGGAAAAAAUGAAGGGUAGAAAUAGCUAUGUUUAAAACCUUUUAGUUAAGUAAAAUUUACGGUGGAAUCUUAGAGUAGAGACAGAAUCCAGUAAAGCCUAAGUUGGGAGUUUAGACUUGGUAUUUGUUUCUCCUUUAGAAAUUAAGUGUAUUGUAUCAACACACAAAAUCCUGUUUAAUAAACUAACUAAACUAUAAUAACUGUUUUUACUUGUUUAUAUUGGAUUUUUAUUGAUUAAAUUUUUUCAUAACAAAAUCUUCCAAAUUCUUAUUUUCAAGGCAAUGUAACAAUGAAACCAAAACCCACCAAAUGUUGGGAUCCCCCAAAAGAGUAAACAAUAGACCUAUAAUAUCUCUCAAGGAAGUUUUGGAAAAAAGAAAGCUAAAUAAAAUAUUGAAAUGGAAUCCAGAGUACAUCAGAAGAAAUAUAUACUUUGUCCAAGUGUAGGGUUUUUUUUAGUAUUGUAAGGAUAUUUCAGUAUUAGGAAUGAUAUGGUUAGGUACCUACUAUUAGCAUAUUAAAUAAAAUUGAAUUAAGUUCCAGUAGUAGCCAAUAAAGUUAGAUGAAAAAAGAUAAAGACAAUUGGAUAAACCAUUAGUGGAGUCCCAUGUUAAUUUAAAGAAGUCAAUUCCUUUGACGUAUAAAAAUCACAAUUAGAAAAUAUAAGGGAAGAAAGAGCCCUACUUAUAAUGGAAAUUAAAAACUAAAAUACUUUGGAAAGAACUUACCAUAAAAUGUCAACAAGAAAACUGUAAAAUAUUCCUA